GCGGACGGGGGACGGCCCGAGUGAGGCGUCCUCCGAAGGCUGCGGGCCCGAAGCCAGAACUCCUUCCUCUCCGAAGACCUCGGGGGUGGGGCUCGCGCUUCCGCAGCGGGCCUAGAGCGAGAGGCAGGCGGCAGGUCAAGAGACUGCUCUCCUCCCCAAGCUAGGGGAACCUUCUGGGACUCCAUCAACUGACAAUGAGGGGAUAAUGGUCCCUCACUGCCCCAUCAGGAAAGGCUCAUGGGUGAUUGGGACCUUUGCUUGAAACCCAACUUACUGGCCAGGAACCUCAAGUUCUGGGACCAGGCGCCUUCCUCCCUCCCACUGUGCCAGAGGAGGGGAGACAAAAUCCCUCAAUGGCUGUCUAGCUCCAGGCAGAUCAGCUGCCACGGGGACUGCUGAGCAGGGAGAGGCUGUCGAUGCUGAGGCACGAGAGAAUUUGCUCCUGCUCCUCCAGAGAAAAUGGCUGGGACAGGCUGUUGAGGAAUAAUUCUGCAGGGAAAAGUGGAAGAUGGCUGUGAAAGACUGGGAGGAGGCUGGCUGUGUUUUCAGGGGUUCUUCCUGCACAGUCGGUAGAAGCUGAGCUGCUGGGGAAGGGGCUGGAAGAAAGCCCACACCGCAGCUGCUGCAGUUCCUGCUCCGGGACGGUUGCUUUCCGCUCUGGUAUCAGUAGCAAAUUCAAAAACUACAGAAUCAGCUCCAGAGGACUUUGUUAACAAGAAAGAGAAGAUUGAAAACAGCCCUGGGGCUACACCAACUCAAGAGCUCCCAGGCAAAGUGGCAUCCUGGACCCACCAUCUCUCCUACCCCAUCCUCAGUCGGUACUUCCCCAGGCACCGUUUGUUCUGGCAUGGGGCUAGUUCAGCCCUGGGACCACCCUCAUCCUUAUAACUACCAGCUGUCUUUGGUGAGGUGCAAGAUCUCUCUGGUUUUCUUUAUUUCAUUUUCAUUCCUAUAAUCACAGCCUUUUUUGUGCCCAUCCCUCAGGUGACAUUCUAUUAUGUUUGAUGUGUCAUUUUUGAUUUGGUUGUGUCCUUGCAAAAUGUGCGUUGUUUUAUUUAUCAAUUUAUUUUUAUUUUUAUUUUUUUAAAGAGAUGAGGUCUCAUCAUGUUGCCCAGGCUGGACUCCAACUCCUGGGCUCAAGCGAUCCUUCCACCUCAAUCUUCUGAGUGGCUGGGACUACAGAUGUGCGCCACCAUACCUGGCUAUUGAUCAAUUUUUAGUUUACCAAACAGGCAUUAUGUUCUGGGUCCCAUUCUGUGUCGGGUUCUCUUUUCACUCGGC
rnacentral:lncRNA from 1 species